rnacentral:rRNA from 1 species
CGACCGGCGCACGGGUGCGUAACGCGUAUGCAACCUACCUUUAACAGGGGGAGUAACACUGAGAAAUUGGUACUAAUACCCCAUAAUAUCAUAGAAGGCAUCUUUUAUGGUUGAAAAUUCCGAUGGUUAGAGAUGGGCAUGCGUUGUAUUAGCUAGUUGGUGGGGUAACGGCUCACCAAGGCGACGAUACAUAGGGGGACUGAGAGGUUAACCCCCCACACUGGUACUGAGACACGGCCAG